GAUGAACGCUGGCGGCGUGCCUAAUACAUGCAAGUCGAACGCACCACUUCGGUGGUGAGUGGCGAACGGGUGAGUAACACGUAGAUAACCUGCCCUUAAGACGAGGAUAACCGUUGGAAACGAUGGCUAAAACUGGAUAGGAAUAUUGAAGGCAUCUUUAAUAUUUUAAAAGACCUAGUAAUAGGUAUACUUAAGGAGGGGUCUGCGGCGCAUUAGUUAGUUGGUGAGGUGAUGGCUUACCAAGACGAUGAUGCGUAGCCGGACUGAGAGGUUGAACGGCCACAUUGGGACUGAGAAACGGCCCAAACUCCUACGGGAGGCAGCAGUAGGGAAUUUUCGGCAAUGGGGGAAACCCUGACCGAGCAACGCCGCGUGAAUGACGAAGUACUUCGGUAUGUAAAGUUCUUUAUCAGGGAAGAAUGACUUAUGGAAAAAUAAGUGUGACGGUACCUGAUGAAUAAGCCCCGGCUAACUAUGUG
rnacentral:rRNA from 1 species